AGCCUUUGACAUGUCCCGUAUGGGCCCUGGAGACAGGGUCCUUCAGUUCGGCUGGCGGGAACACAGGUGCUGCAUGGCUGUCGUCAGCUCGUGUCGUGAGAUGUUGGGUUAAGUCCCGCAACGAGCGCAACCCUCGCCCUUAGUUGCCAUCCUUCAGUGGGGCACUCUAAGGGGACUGCCGGUGAUAAGCCGCGAGGAAGGUGGGGAUGACGUCAAGUCCUCAUGGCCCUUACGGGCUGGGCUACACACGUGCUACAAUGGCGGUGACAAUGGGCAGCCAACCCGCGAGGGGGAGCUAAUCCCAAAAAGCCGUCUCAGUUCAGAUUGCACUCUGCAACUCGAGUGCAUGAAGGCGGAAUCGCUAGUAAUCGUGGAUCAGAACGCCACGG
rnacentral:rRNA from 1 species